UGCUUCGAGUUACACUCCCAACCCCUGUGACAUACCUUACUGUUGCCUCGGCGGAUCAGCCCGCUCCCGGUAAAACGGGACGGCCCGCCAGAGGACCCCUAAACUCUGUUUCUAUAUGUAACUUCUGAGUAAAACCAUAAAUAAAUCAAAACUUUCAACAACGGAUCUCUUGGUUCUGGCAUCGAUGAAGAACGCAGCAAAAUGCGAUAAGUAAUGUGAAUUGCAGAAUUCAGUGAAUCAUCGAAUCUUUGAACGCACAUUGCGCCCGCCAGUAUUCUGGCGGGCAUGCCUGUUCGAGCGUCAUUUCAACCCUCAAGCCCUCGGGUUUGGUGUUGGGGAUCGGCGAGCCUUUCUGGCAAGCCGGCCCCGAAAUCUAGUGGCGGUCUCGCUGCAGCCUCCAUUGCGUAGUAGUAAAACCCUCGCAACUGGAACGCGGCGCGGCCAAGCCGUUAAACCCCCAACUUCUGAAUGUUGACCUCGGAUCAGGUAGGAAUACCCGCUGAACUUAAGCAUAUCAAUAAGGGCGGAGGAU
rnacentral:rRNA from 1 species